rnacentral:misc_RNA from 1 species
GAGGAGAGAGAGAGAACAGUUGAAUUUUCCUGUGCGACGUUGCAGGGUUCCUCCUGCAGAAAUGCAAUGUGAUUAACAGAACCCAAUAAGAAAGAAACAUAAAAAAUGUUCGACAGGAAGCCAUCAUUCAAUGAGUUGUCCGCACAAACAUGUAAACAAUAAUGGAAGUCCAUAUCCAUUGCCAUGUUCUAAUAAUUCUGUGUUGGAUCCUCUCCCCCCAUCUGCCCCCAGUGAUGAACUUGAUUGAGGAGCAACCUGACCACCGACAAAGAGGGAAUUCAUAUCUGAAUUGUGUAGAACUGAGGAGAAAUCAUUAGGUGCAUAUGCUAUUGGACUAUCACUCCUCUGAAUGUUGGCUGCUUUCCUUUCUGCAUCAAGAAAGUGACCAAGAGAAGGAGUGUGGUUUGUGUUAACAGCAUCAGUGCUCAACUUUGAGCAUAAUGAGAAGAACCAAUGUUUUGACUUGCAAUUCUUCUGGUCUCUUAAGGCUUCUGUUGUUCUUCUCCUGGCUGACCUUCUUGAGAGUUCUAAAAUGCUAGAAACUCCAAUCAAGCUCCCAAAUGUGAUGCUUUUGUCAUGGAAGAAAGAUCCAGUAGACUCCGUAUCAAGAUCUGAGGAAGAAUCGGUGGUGGAGCUAGGAGAACCAGUAAGCAAAGUGCUACAUGAAAUUGAUCCAUUGAAAUCCCGAUUUCUUAACAACCCAACUCUAGCAUUCACUGGUCUGAGGCCAAGAGGCCAGCCAUCUUCCUGCAGAACCAUGAGCCUGUGUUGUGUAUUCCCACUGGGAUUAAUUGAUGUAAGAGAGAAGUCCAGUGAGGUUACCUGAGAAAGAGAGAGAGAGAGAUCUAGAUACUCUAUUUUAAACUAAAAGGGAAGAGUUAAAAGACCAGAAGAAAAUAUGGAAAACGUUGAAAAGAGGUGUGCAGCUCCUCUCACAUCACAUGCUCUGUUGCCCAGCACAGCAGCAUUGCCUCUUCAAGCAGAGAGUCAGAAGAGUUCAAAAGCACAAAACACAAGCACAAGAGAGAGAGGAAGUGAAAGUGAUGUUUUACCAUUGUUAGCUGCAACUCUGGUUGAGUAGACUGUAGACCGAAUAUAUAGUGGGAAGGAGAGGAAACAGAAUAAUUUUUGUUCAGGGAUAAGGGAAAGUGAGACAUGGAAAUAGAGGAGGAAGAGGGACCAGCGUACUGUCUGGGGUGGAAGCCGACACUUUUAUAAUCUGACCAAAAUAUCCCUCGUAUUUUGUUUAAUUUCCCUUUUUAAUUUUUUUUUUCUCUAAUUGGCCUAAUUUCCGUUUCUCUUUCUGACUCUCUCCCUCGUUGGAUCAUCAACAAACAUAUAAAGCCGUACAUGUCAACUCAGCGAGUCUUCCUCCUGCUUUUUCUCUGUCCGAGUCUUGCUGGCUGAAUCUGAGUUGUUCACUCGCUCAUCUCUUCGCGAUGAAGAGUGGACUCGAGGUCUUCGAUUUCAAGGAAGAGGACGAGCUCGCUGAAUAUGCAGCUGGUAAAAUCCUCCGCAAGUUCAAAAACCCUAGCCUUGACAAUCCCGCCUUUUUGAAAUGCAACUUUCUCGAAUGCGGUACCGUUUCUCUUAUUCCCAGAAGCUUUCCUUGCCCUGUUUGGCCACCGAUUUUUUACACUUUUCGUUCACUGGUCUUUCCCAGGGUUUCCUUAUAUAGAACGUAACAGUGAAAGGACUGCAAUUUUAGUUGAAAUUAGUGAAUUCAGAGUUUAAUCUUUUUGGCAUUUGGUGUUCUAAAUUGCGACUGUUAUGCUGUGUAGACUGCAUUUGUAGACUGCAUUUUUUUUUUUCUCAAUUUUGAAUUCUGCUGUUCAUAUUAUUUGUCUUGUUUUACGUUUGAUGUCACUGUUCUGAUUCAAUGUGUUUAAUGCUAAUUUGAUAUUUUUAUUAGUGAAUGUGAAUGGAAUUUCUUGAUCAUGUAGUAUCAGCUGUGUUUCUAGUUGCACAGGGAUCUGAUGUUGUAAAAAACGAAAGUGGCGCCAUAACUUGUGUAGAUGUUGAUGCAAUUGAAUGUGGGAAUAGUUCUAACAAUGCUACUACAUGCGCUUCUUUGGAAGCGGUUAGAGAGGAGUCUACCACCAAAGAAGGCAAUUCUCACCCAGAUUCUGAUUUCCCGUCAGAAUCUCUGAGUCAUGAAAAAGACUCUUGUUCUAAGAUGGAAAAUUAUGAAUCCAAAAGCUCUUUUACUGAACCGGAGGGAGGGGUUUCAUGCCAUGAAGCACCGUUGCCUGAGAAAAUCCAAUCUAAUUGUGCCCUUGCAGGCUCUCCUUCUAAUGUACUUCGGCUUUUCAAUUUUCAUAUAUUUACUAAAUUGCAAUUUUUUUUCCUUCUCUUCCUUUGUCAUUAUAUUCAAAUUCAUGUUUUCUUUGUUGGAAAACCAUUUAGAAUGUACCGAAAUCAAAUGCUGAUGGAAGCAUGAAUGAGAGUUCUCCAUCACCUCCUGCUUCUAAUGCUGCAAAGAAUGGUGCUAUUUUAAAUGGCCACUCAUCAAACAAUCAUUUCAGAGCAUCAGAAAUGGAUAUCAUAAACAUUGCAGUUGAUUAUGUUGUAUAUCGGGAUAACUACUGUACCGGGUGCCUGGUAACUUUUUCUUGUGUUGGCAUUAAAAUAAGUGGUACGCCCACAUAUGGAGACCAGGGAACCUUUAGCUUUGAAAGGGGAAUUGAUGAUAUUAUUCGUAUUGAGUCUCAGCAUCUUCAAAGGUUUGGAACCGUCACUGUUAAGCUCCACUUACUAUCGAAGGAUGCUGCACAAUCAACUAAUGCCUAUGGGGUUGAGCAGCUGGAGUUUGCAAUUUAUGAGCCCAACUGGUCUGGGAAAUUGGAGGAGAUUGCAUCUCUGAAUAUUAAAUAUUUAGCUUUAUCUGCCAUGGUGCAUGAGAAUGUCUCAAUGGAUGAAAGAUCUGACUUGCUUCGACAGAGGCCUUAUUUUCCAAUUUUUGAUGAGGCUGUUGAAGAUGUUGUCUAUCCAAAAGGGGAUUCAGAUGCAGUUUCCAUUUGUAAGAGAGAUUUUGAUCUACUACAACCGGAGACAUUUAUCAAUGAUACCAUUAUUGACUUCUAUAUCAAGUAUUUAAAGAAUCAGAUUCCACCUGAGGAGAAGCAUAGGUUCCAUUUUUUUAAUAGCUUUUUCUUUCGGAAGCUUGCGGAUCUAGACAAAGAUCCAUCCAGUGCUUCAGAUGGUAGGGCUGCUUUUUUACGUGUUCAUAAAUGGACAAGGAAAGUGGACAUGUUUGGAAAAGACUAUGUUUUCGUCCCUGUAAAUUUCAAUCUUCAUUGGAGUUUAUUGGUAAUAUGUCAUCCUGGUGAAGUGGCUGGUUUGAAAGGUGAGUUCUUGCUGGAUUUAUGAUGAUCUGUUUGGAAAUCAGUGAUCCUUCAUAGAUUUGUACUGUAUUACAGAUGAAGACUUGGGGAAUUACUUGAGAGUACCAUGCAUAUUGCACAUGGAUUCUAUUAAAGGAACUCAUGCAGGUCUCAAAAACCUUGUUCAAAGUUAUCUAUGGGAAGAGUGGAAAUCGAGGCAAAAGGAGGCAUCAGAAGACUUAUCUUCAAAAUUUUUGAAUUUGCGGUUUGUCCAACUUGAGUUGCCACAGCAGGAAAAUUCAUUUGAUUGCGGCCUGUUCCUGCUCCACUACCUGGAGUUAUUUUUGGCGGAGGCUCCUGUGAAUUUCACCCCAUUCAAAAUAAACGAGUUCUCCAAGUUUCUUAAUGUGGAUUGGUUUCCCCCUGCUGAGGCAUCUCUGAAGCGUACUCUUAUCCAGAGACUAAUUUCUGAGCUCCUAGAAAAUUGCCCUCGAGAACUCUCUUCUGGUGAUUGCAGUGAUGAACCAGAGUGUAGUUUGCCAGAAAAUAAUGAGAAAGAAACUAGAGUCCAGUUUGUUUCAGAGGAAUGCACUCCUGCUGUAGCUUGUCAUGGGAAUUUAUCAACUUCUGAUGCCAGUCAAGGGAUUGAAAUCACUCUGUUGGAAGCAUCUUCUGUGAGGAAUUCUGAUUGUGUCAAUGAUCCAGGCUUGGUUCUCAGGGAAUUCUUUGAGCCUGGAGUUGCUGCAGGGUCAUUACUUGCGCAUUGUUCAUCCUUUGACCAGCAAUCUUAUUACCGUCUUAAUGGUGCUAUGUCACAACAGAUUGAGAAUCAUGCAGAAACUGGAGAGCCGUUUGUUUAUUUCCCUUCUGGAGAUGUUUUGUUUCAACAAAUUGCUGGAAUUUCUAUGCAAGGAGAGGAUGAUGGCUCAUCCCCAGAAACAUCAAUAUGUGCCUCUGAUGAUUCUGAUGUAGGAAUUAUUGAAAAUUGUCCUGUUGAGAAAGAUUUGGAUUUAGCUCAAGAAGAGAAAAUUGAUCAACAAAUGUCUCUUUCAAUGGAAAAAAUUGAGUUAUUGACAGAGAAACUUGCUACAAGUUCUAGUGAGAUGCUGGAGACCUCUGCCAUUAAAAGUACUGAAGACCCUGAUAGGAUGCAUGACGCCAAUAAGAAUGGCGACCUUGCCUUGUGUCAAGAAAAUCCAACUACAUUGCAUAAAGACACUGACAUGGUAGAAAAUGGGUUGCAUCAAGACUCAGAACAAACAGAGAUCAUUGGUGAUGAUGUGGUGGCAGAAUCAGAUGAGAAGCAAAUGAUCGAGGUUAAUGUGAUGGCAGAAUCAGAAGAACAGCAAGCUGCAAAAAGGAGUCGGGUUACACCUCCAGAAGAAGGGGAGAGAGAUACCAUUGGAAGCCUGUCAAAGGAUCUCCAUUUGUAAUUUAGGAUGUAGGUGGAGCUGUCCUCUUAGAUUUUUGUUAACAUAAUUGUGAACCUGGAUCUCACUAGAUUUUGAUAUGCCAUUCUGUGAAUAGUGCCAUGGCCAUAUUUUAACAUUCAUUAGCUUGGGUUGUCUUGUAGGAAAAAGGAGAAAAUUGCAUCAAGUUCUUUUGUUAAUAAUUAAGCGACCAGAAUAUUUUUGGGCCUAGCAAAGGGAAUUAAAAUUCUUCUAGUUCAGGACUACAAGUUGUACUUUGCAAUUAUGUAAUGGUGAGCCUUUAGCUGCUUUGCAAAGAAGUACCAUUUUUUCCUCUGAAAUAGAACCCACAACCAUUGGAGGAAAAUGUAAUAUAAAUGCUUGAUUUAUGUUAUGAAUUUCAUUGGCUAAAAUUGGAAGCAAA